CGGGGGGAGCAAGCGUUGUUCGGAUUUACUGGGCGUAAAGGGCGCGUAGGCGGCCACCGCAAGUCGACUGUGAAAUCUCCGGGCUUAACCCGGAAAGGUCAGCCGAUACUGCGGGGCUAGAGUGCAGAAGGGGCAACUGGAAUUCUCGGUGUAGCGGUGAAAUGCGUAGAUAUCGAGAGGAACACCUGCGGCGAAGGCGGGUUGCUGGGCUGACACUGACGCUGAUGCGCGAAAGCUAGGGGAGCGAACGGGAUUAGAUACCCUGGUAGUCCACGCCCUAAACGAUGUCAACUAGGUGUUGGGUGGGUAAAACCAUUUAGUACCGGAGCUAACGCGUGAAGUUGACCGCCUGGGGAGUACGGCCGCAAGGUUA
rnacentral:rRNA from 1 species